rnacentral:rRNA from 1 species
CGCGUAGGCGGUUCGUUAAGUCGUUGGUGAAAUCCCGGGGCUCAACUCCGGGGCGGCCGGCGAGACUGGCGGGCUCGAGCACGGUAGAGGCAGAUGGAAUUCCCGGUGUAGCGGUGGAAUGCGUAGAUAUCGGGAAGAACACCAGUGGCGAAGGCGUUCUGCUGGGCCGUUGCUGACGCUGAGGCGCGACAGCGUGGGGAGCAAACA